UACGUAGGGGGCAAGCGUUAUCCGGAAUUACUGGGCGUAAAGCGCACGCAGGCGGGUUCGCCAAGUUUGGAGUGACAGUUGUCGGCUCAACCGACAAAGGACUUCAAAAACUGGUGAACCUGAGGACGAGAGAGGAACAUGGAACUCCAGGUGUAGUAGUGAAAUGCGUAGAUAUCUGGAAGAACACCAAUGGCGAAGGCAAUGUUCUGGCUCGUUUCUGACGCUCAGGUGCGAAAGCCAGGGGAGCGAACGGG
rnacentral:rRNA from 1 species